GAGGCAGGAGGAUUCCCAUGAGUUUGAGACCAACCUGGACUACAUAGUUCAAGGCCAGCCUGGACUACACUGUGAGACCCUGUCUCAAAAAAAAACAAAAACAAAAACAAAAAAAAACCAAAAAGCUAUGUGUGCUACCACAUUGUUCUUCCUUUUGUAAUCAUCCAAAUUCCAGGGACUCUCUGUAUCCGUUAUUUCUAUGCCUGUCAGCCUGGAAAAAUAGCCAUGACUGUUACCCAUCUUUCUCAUUCUUUAAUUGAUCAUCUAGCAAAAUUACUAUAAUUGCAAAAGCCAAGACCUCAGUUAAAAGGGCAAAGUGUACAUGUUCACAAAGGAAGAUAUACAUGCAUGAGUAUCUGUGUACUUCCCUUGCAUUUAAAAUCUGCUCUUUUAAAUAUGUAAAGAAGUGCUGCAAAAUUCUCCUACACAGGAGUUGCUGGAGUGCCAGUUUUGCCCAAGCGCCCCUGGGCAGAUUUUGUAACCACUGGUUCAAAGGAUAGAUCUGAAGAAUGAACAAAUCUAUAAAUCAUCAAUAUUGAAAUGAAAAUGAAGGCCAAAGUGUAGAAUGUGAAAUUUAAACGGAUGUGGAAUGGAACCUUCUUCCACAGUGGGGGAACUGAAGUCAGUUAAACUUAUACUGGAUAAAAUGUGCAUGUCCAUAGACAUACACCACCUACAGAGAUGUUCAAACAGCUUCCCUAAAUCAGGAACAGAUAAUUGGGUGACUUCAAUGCUUACUUUUCCACUGAAAUACAAAUUUUCCCCUACAAUAGCAGUAAGGCAAAACUUGUUAAAUAUCCAAGGGCCUCAUCAGACAGGAUCUCAAAUAACACACUGAGUUGGAAUUGUUAGUUCUAGACUUUGAGUAAAGGAGGUUCAUUAAGCUGAGUGUCAGGAUCCUUGCAUUGGAGAGGCAGGGCCUAGCAGCAGGUGAAGCUGGGCGAAAAUUGCACAAGACGGACUCUUAAAUAAAAAUGUAGGAAGCCGAUGCAAUAAAUCAAAGUCUGAAGGUGAGAGCCAUAGUCAUGACAGAGAGGAAAAGUGGCUGGCAAAACAGAAUGCAGCUGAUCUAGUGAAGAUGCACCUGAGAGCUUAAGUGGACAUAAGAGUAUUUCACAGUAUCUAGAUUCUAGUUCAACUCACUGGGUGGCUGCUGCCAUAUCCAUCAACAUCAGAGGUGCAACCUUGAGCAAAGACCAGCGAACUCGUGCCCCUUGAGUAUCUGUGUGGACAUAUCGGGAAGAAAGCUGGAGGAGGGGGGCCCAGGCGCCUAAAAGUGCAAUCAGAAGCCACUGGUCACCAGUGUGCUUCCUGAGCAAGCAAGGCUCGAGGAAACUCGCCGGCGAGGCAGCAGCCACCUUGCAGUGCCCUCUCGGGAGCCCACACGGGCCAAAGAAGGCUGGACCUUAGCUGGCCUCCGCAGGCCCCACUUCCGCUUCCAGCUCACGCCCCACCCCGACCACUUCCGCUUCCGGCGUUGGGCCUCGCCCAUCCGUGAGCCGGAGAGGCCCUCGCGCGUUGGCGGCUGCGAGUUCCUGUGGCCUAACAUGCGGCGGCCACGGCCUCCUGCGGGCCCCCACGUCCGCCCAGGGGCGAGAAGGCAACGCGCUAGGCCUGAGGAAGCGUGGCCGCUGGCCUGCGCCUGGGCCUAGCGAGGAGAGCGGCCGUGGCCCCAGGCCCGUGGGGGUUCGAAGAGCGCAGGCGGAAGAGGAUAGUGGCGGCGCCGGCGUCCGCGGGGCCUGAGGUGG
rnacentral:lncRNA from 1 species